rnacentral:tRNA from 4 species
GCAGGCGUGGUCUAGUGGUAUGACUGUGGCCUUCCAAGCCACCUACCCGGGUUCGAGUCCCGGCGCCUGCACCA